UACGGAUUGCGUGACUUUUCGA
rnacentral:miRNA from 1 species